CAACUGAUGAAGACAAACAAGGCGACGGUGCUGACGUUUGCUGAGAAAUGCAAGAGUAUACUGUCUGCGAAUUGGAAAGGGCAGCGUAAUACCAUCAAGGCUGAUGCUAAAGGAAGCAAGGAGGACAUUUACACGUCGAAGAUUAAGUACAUAUGCAAAAGAGGGAAGCCGUACAUUUGGAUACCUGAGAAGGAGUUGCAUAAUGUAAACUUAAUUGUUGAUGAACGCGGUUCUUUUUCUGUGGCUAGUCCUAUUCCAGGUCCACUGGCAAGGUUUACUUAGAUCAAUAAAUAAGACACCAGAUCGAGUUGCUUUGACUGGAGAUGUUGUACCUUUAACCGAUGGAAAGGCUCUGUCUGCAACAGAAGUCCUUAAAGAAGGUAUGGUAGCGGAACAGAAUGCAAUCAACUUCCAGUUAUACAGUGUCAGGUGUAUUAAGUUCUUCAGAUCAUAGUCGUACAUCACGAAGUGAAAACCUUAAGGAUCUCUUGGAAGGGGAUGAAAAGUACAGAGUUUAUAAAUUCAACCAAAGGCAAGAACCGUGUACUUUGAAUACAGCCUUUUAUUAUAUAACAUUGUUGAUAUAUUUUAACAUGGAGAUUUCAUCAAAAUCAUUGAUAUUAUCAUUUUAGGGGCUAUAUCAGAACUUAAAUGAGUUUUGUCAAGAGCUGGAGUAAUGUCAGUGUGUCAACUCUCUUACAAACAGUCUAUACUGUUCAGUUCUUGCAUGUACAUUGGUGGAAAUGGAAGCACUCAUGAAAUCAAUGAAGAUAUGGGUAGA